CCCACGCCAUCUCUCCCACUACCAUCAUGCCAACGCCAGCACCUCCCAUGUUUGACAAAUACCCUACAAAAGUUGACCCCUUCUACCGGCACAGUCUCUUCCACUCCUACCCUCCUGCAGUGUCGAGCAUCGCCCCCAUGAUCCCACCCAUGGGCCCUUUUGGUUCACUACAAGGAGCAUUUCAGCCCAAGG